UGGGGAAUAAACACAUGUUGGAAGCCUCGAUAUGAUUUUCUAAGCAGAAACCUGCAGCCUUUAGUAACUGGCAAAGUGUAGCGUCACCUAUCUGGAUAAAAGGGAAAUAAACUUUAAUGGCAACUUUGUGUACCGAAGAGUCCCUAGCUCCUUUUCUCUCCUUCUUUUGACUUUGUGCCACUUGAUCGUACAUGGUAUUCCCCCACGCGAGGCUUCCCCACUUUUCAGUCACUGCCGCCGCAUCCUGCCUCAUCGAAUUUCAUUUCUGGUUGUUUUCUAAACUGUAGCCAUUUGCUCUUAUUUCAGUGGCUGUCGGGGGCCCAGCCAGGAUGGGAGGGGGGGCGGUGUUGAGAUAAGCAGGAGAUACUUGGGAAGAAUUCUUACACUUCAAAGAAGAAAAGAGGCUGCUGCUGGAUUUUGGUUGGUCCUCAUCUGGUCUGCUCAAUCUAUAGGAAUUGAAGGGCCUCCUCUUAAAGGAAAAUUUAAAGCAAAAAGAAGAAAAGAGAAAGAAAUCCGUCCAGAGUGGAUGUUAGCCUGAUCAUACCACCUAUUUGGAGGAAAGAAAUAGUACCUACCCUUGCCUUUUCGAUGACAAAAUAAACAAUGAGAUCCUGCUGUAUAGCGCCGGGAA
rnacentral:lncRNA from 1 species